UGAAUAAUUGAUGGAGACAAAUCUAAAACUUACCAACGAGAAUGAAUGUGAGAUUUGGUAACUACAACAAAUAUAAAACUCAAAUGUGAAAAUAAAAAUGUUACAACAGAAACAUAUUAGAAAACAUUGUGGGUAAAUUGGAUGAAAGCAGCGAACCCUUCUCAAGAAAAAACAAGUGCAGUGGUCGACCAAGAAAACAUAGAUCUGGAACAGUUUUGAUUGAGAUGGUGA
rnacentral:lncRNA from 1 species